GACGAACGCUGGCGGCGUGCUUAACACAUGCAAGUCGAACGGAAAGGCCCUGCUUUCGUGGGGUGCUCGAGUGGCGAACGGGUGAGUACACGUGAGUAACCUGCCCCUGACUUUUGGAUAACUUCAGGAAACUGGGGCUAAUACUGGUAAGGCACUCCUCCUGCAUGGGGGGGGAUGGAAAGUUUCGGCGGUUGGGGAUUGAAUGCGGGCUUAUCGGCUUGUCUGGUGGGCAGUGGCUUAGCAAGGCUUGGCGGGGUUGCCGACCUGGGAUGAGAGCCGGCGACAUGGGGCCUGAGAUAGGGCCCAGUCUCCAACGGGGGGCAGCAGUGGGGAGUAUUGCACAGUGGGCGGAAGCCUGAUGAAGAAACGCCGGGUGCGGGAUGACGGCCUUCGGGUUGUAAACCGCUUUCGCCUGUGACGAAGCGUGAGUGACGGUAAUGGGUAAAGAAGCACCGGCUAACUACGUG
rnacentral:rRNA from 1 species